GCCUUUGUGGUGUAGUGGUCAGCGUGCUCGACCCGUUACCGAGAAGUCCAUGGUUCGAUUCCCGGCGAAGGCG
rnacentral:tRNA from 1 species